rnacentral:rRNA from 1 species
CCAGACUCCUACGGGAGGCAGCAGUAGGGAAUUUUCGUCAAUGGGCGCAAGCCUGAACGAGCAAUGCCGCGUGAACGAGGAAGGUCUUCGGAUCGUAAAGUUCUGUUGACGGGGAAAAAAGACCGGGAAAGGAAAUGAUCCCGGAGGAGAUAUUACCCGUCGAGGAAGUCACGGCUAACUACGUGCCAGCAGCCGCGGUAAUACGUAGGUGGCGAGCGUUAUCCGGAUUUAUUGGGUUUAAAGGGUGCGCAGGCGGCGCGGCAAGCCGGCGGUCAAAUCGCGGGGCUCAACCCCGCCCAGCCGUCGGAACUGCCGGGCUAGAGUGGGCGAGAAGUGCGCGGAAUGCGUGGUGUAGCGGUGAAAUGCAUAGAUAUCACGCAGAACUCCGAUUGCGAAGGCAGCGCACCGGCGCCCUACUGACGCUCAGGCACGAAAGCGUGGGUAUCGAACAGGAUUAGAUACCCUCGUA